rnacentral:rRNA from 1 species
UACAGAGGUCCCAAGCGUUGUUCGGAUUCACUGGGCAUAAAGGGCGCGUAGGCGGCUUCCUGAGUCAGGGGUGAAAUCCGGCAGCUCAACUGUCGCAGUGCCUUUGAUACUGGGAAGCUCGAGGGAUGUAGGGGUCUGUGGAACUUCCGGUGGAGCGGUGAAAUGCGUUGAUAUCGGAAGGAACGCCGGUGGCGAAAGCGACGGACUGGACAUCUUCUGACGCUGAGGCGCGAAAGCCAGGGGAGCAAACGGG